GCCUGACUCUGCCUGUCCUCAUAAACUGUAAUUAAGAGCGCGGACCUGAUUUAAACUCCAUAUUUUUAGUAAGUAACGUUCCAGCAAUAAAACAGAGCUUUUAACUUGAAAGAACGAAAUCUGUUUUAAUGAUGUAAAUAAACAUCACUGUGACAGCGCUAGUCACAGUUUCACCGCAGCAAAGCCUGUACUGAUUUCUGCCCCCAAUAACCCGUUCAGUAACUUCCAAUAGCCUUUAAUAGUCUUCAGUAGCCUUCAACAGUCUAACCUGGCGGUCGUGUCAACUAAACUCCGUAGUUAUAAACAUCCUGAGGUGAAUAAAUAUUUGAUAAGGAUGUUUUCUGUUGCUGCUUGGGGCAAAAACCAAGGAUUCCCAGCAGAGCAAAAUGAAACUAUAGUCUGGCAUCCCCGGGCUCCUACUGCCAGGGCCCCUACUGCCAGGACCCCUACUGAAAGGUCCCCUACUGCCGGGGAACCUACUGGUGGGAUCACUGUAGUGGUUGACACGGCGCGUUGGAGAUAUCAGAAACAGUCGAGAAAAACAAUCGGGGUCAUUCAAAUGAUAUAUGGGGUGGUUUUUCUUGGGUUUGGAAUUGGCUUUUUAGUCUUCGCCCCGGCUGCUCUCUAUAUUGGAUUUCUUAUCUUCAACUGUCUGUCUCACUUCCUCGCCGGCUGUCUAAGUAUUGCAUCACCACUGAACAAUUCCAAUCCCUUUUUUGGAUGUCAACAUCUGUAUUCGGUGAAAAACUCUGCGUGGGCAAAUGUAAUCAGUGUUGUAGCUACAACAAUCCUGAUUGUUCUACUGCUUUUUGACUUUAUCAUGGAUUUUGGAUAUGAGUGCAGCGGAUUAUGGGAUUAUGACUGCAUAGAAGCUAAGCACCGGAUUCAUGUGCUCACAGGAUUCCUGACGGUGUUCACGUUCUUUGCCUGCUUCAGCUCCGUAAUGUUCUUAGGGAACAGAUUAAAAGGCUACUGCCCCGAAGCAACGGAAUCUGUUGUCAGUGUGCCUCCAACCCAAUCAGCCCACGCUUCAGCGCCCACUGCAUUCCAAGACUACACAGAUCAACGGAACUCGUGUUACAGUGAUUAUGGAACAACAGCGAUGGAUGUGCACAACACAUGUUCAGACGAUCCUCCAUCAUACGAUGAAUGUGUCCAAACAGACUGGCAAUGAAGAAGUUCUGAGAAGUCCUGAGAUGCUGUCAAGAUGCUUUUUUUCAGGUUAUAACCUCUUAAAUUAAUGUAUAUGUAUAAAUGUUCAUCACUGCUGUCAUAUUGAUCCCUUAAAUGUGCACAAUUUUCAUUAGAAUCUUUUCCAGCAUUUAAAAAAUGUGAGUAUUGCAAAACAAAUGGCCAAAGGGAAUGACUGUAAGUCAUGUAAGUGUACUGUAAAAAAAAACUAAGCGCCCUAAGUGCUGAACAAUAGUCGCUGCUUUUUUUUCACACUGUGAAGCUCCAGCUCAUCCCAAAUCACCAUCUUAGCUUAGGGUUUAGGUCAGGAGAUUGUGGAGAGUUAACACUUAUUUUGUUAACUACAUAAUUCCCUAUUUGUCCAUUAAUUGAUUUUAUACACAGUCUUUUAUAUUACAAUUCAGAAUGUGUUACAAUUCAGAAAAUACAUUAAAGAAAAAAAAAACAAGAAAAAACAUUAAAUGCUAAGGUGUGUCUAAACUUAUAUAUUACACGUAUUGCUUUACUGGUUGCGUUGUUGCCAUAUUGUUUAAAGUGUCUGUGUCAUUUGUGUCAUGUUGUAAGUUUUGUUGUAACUUUUGCUUUAAAUAAACUUAAACCUGAAAAUUCUCUUUUAUUUUUU
rnacentral:lncRNA from 1 species